UAUGAAGGGGGCUAGCGUUGCUCGGAAUCACUGGGCGUAAAGCGCACGUAGGCGGCUUUCUAAGUCAGGGGUGAAAUCCUGGAGCUCAACUCCAGAACUGCCUUUGAUACUGGAGAGCUUGAGUCCGGGAGAGGUGAGUGGAACUCCGAGUGUAGAGGUGAAAUUCGUAGAUAUUCGGAAGAACACCAGUGGCGAAGGCGGCUCACUGGCCCGGUACUGACGCUGAUGUGCGAAAGCGUGGGGAGCAAACAGG
rnacentral:rRNA from 1 species